CUGGUCCUGGCGCUGGGACCCGCAGCUGCGCCCUCUGCCUGAGCAGAGACCGGGGCCCCCACGCUCCGCGCCAGCACCCGGCCGCGCUGCGGAGAGGGAAGGGUUACGGCGGGGAUGGGGGUGGGGGGGGUUGGCGGGGGCGCGACUGACUGGCUCGGGAUUGGCUCGGCGCGCGCGGGACCCGGGGGCAGCUGCGGGCCCAGACUUCCCGGACGCCCUGGCGCCUCUGCUGCCCACGGCGGCCCCGAGGCCGCGCCCGCGGAGAGGGGGGCCCCCAUCUCCUGUCAGCCGCAGUGACUGCGGGUGCCUGACGGCGCCGCCAGCCCGGGUGGCCCCUCCCGGCCCCAGCGGGGUCUCCCGGGGCUGCCUCUGUCGGUCCCGACCUGCCUGGUCCCUGGAGCUGGGGUGGGAGUCGUGCUUUGAUCAAUCACUGGGGGCGGGGGGACCGGUCGACCACACCUGAGGGCCCGGGACUUGUUCGCGGCGGCAUCUGGAGGGGUCCUGGUUGAGCAACUAGGGGGGUGUCUGGUAACCAGCCGGGCCCCUCAGGCUCCCUCCCGGCAGGCCCUGAACAGACAGCCAGGGAUGGAACUCGCCCCCGGGCACCCUGUGCCUGCCCUCAGCCUCCCCACUGAGGCCCAGGACUUUAGAGGUGGGCGUGCCCGCCAGGCUGCCAGGCCGUCCCUCCGUGGGCAGCUGAGCAGGCCACAGCGUGGAGGAGGCUCCAGAAAACCCAGCCCUGCCGCUGCACACGUGCGUGGCCAGCAGAUAAAGUCUUCCUUGUUAUUGUGGGCAGCAUAGCUGCACCUGCGGUGAGGCCAGCACUGCCGAAGAGAUGUCAGUUCGCAGAGCUUGACUGUGACCCAAAGGUGAGGUCAGGACUCCGGGAGAGGAUGGUAGCGGUCUUCAGGGGAAACUCUCCUUUUCUUCUGUCUGGACACUGGAGCCACACACUCGCCUGUCCCCAUCCUCCCACAGCAUAGGGCUCCUGGGACCUCGGCCCUGGGCAGGAUUUGGGGGAUGGCCACGUCUCCCUGAGUGGGCUCUGCUCAUGGUCCUCACAAGGCCCGGGACAUGGACGAGACCAGGCCUGCGUCCUCUGCCUCCCCGCCCCACUGUGGCUGUGCCAGCCUCCCUGACAGGGGCUCCUCCGUCCACGUGCCCCUCCUGGGCCACUAUCCCGUUAUAAACAGGCAGGAGUCUCCUUCCAGCCUCCCUCUGGGGCAGGCAGGCAGCACGGCGAUCACCUGCCCCCACUCCCUCAUCUAUCACCCUGAACUAUGUUCACGGUAAAAUUACUCAUCCUCAGCCAGUGAUAAAUGGCAUCAGUCUAGAGCCAGCCCGCGGCAGGGGGUGGGGCUCCCUGCUCAGGGUUCCCAGGCCUGGGCCAGAUAAACCUGGUGAGCUGCGCCUUUGUGCUCACACACAGCUGGCAAUGGCAAGUCAGUGGAUUUGUACGUGUCUGACGUGUGCCCUUGGUAAAAGCACACGUGUGCACGAUUCUGUGUGCAUGUGCUUGUGGGGGCUGGGGGCUGAGGGAGGCCAUCUGGGAUGUGGGGUCUGGAUGUGGUGGCCAGGGUGGGCGCUAGGCAGGCAGCAGAGUGGAGAAGGUAUGUCACCAGGAGAAGGGACCCAAGGAAUCGGAAGAGCAGGGGGAGCCACUGAGUGGGGUGCAGGGAAGAUGGGGUGUCUGGGAGCUCAGCCUGGUGCAGAGGGAGGGAAGCAGGCAGCUCCUGGGUGCACGGGUGGGGCAUACUCUCUACAGAUUCAAUGCUGGAUUUGUAUAGUGUAUAGAUUUUCAAUAGUUAUUUAAAAUCAUCAAAAACAAUCGUGUUUACAAUUUAUUGGGCAACCACUAUAUGCUGGUCAACAUCUAGAAUUUAUCAACAAUUGUACAAGCCAAGUAUUUUAUCCUCAUUUCUACAGAGAAUAAAACCGAGAAUAAGGAACUUUACAUUGUCAGUGAUCAAACACCUAGUGCACCCAUGGCCGUGCGUCCGCAGGACAAAGCAGCCUUUGGAGCCCUGGAACUUAAGAUGUCCAGAGAUCAGCAGCUCUCGGCUCAGGCCCAGGCAGCUGGACAGCACCCAGCGCCUCCUCCAGGUCCUCCUGGGUCCCCUCCUUUCUUUCACUUUCAGCCCGGGAAUCUCUGUGAAGUCCUAGCUGAUAACUAAGGGGUUAAUGAAUAAUCACAGUGAUGAGCUCUGGAGGAGCCAUGGCCCAGAGCAGCUGUGGCCUCCUUUGAUUAAACCACAGAAGUCCGGAGGAUCAGGCCUCAAACCUCCACCACCUGCCAGCUGGCACCUGUGAAGGAGGUGGGACCAGCACCCACCUCACAGUGGCUGCAGGGUCACCUGAGAUGGUGAUUGCAAAGUGCUGAGCCAUCGGGACACAUAUUUCCAAGACCUCCUGAGUGCCGGCUGGCCCCUGCAGCAGAGAUGAGACCCCUGUGGGGCCUACAGUCCAGUUAUGAAGGCAGGGUUCCUGUGUAAGCCAGCAGGCCCAGUUCUGGAAAGGCCAGGAUGUGGGUUCAGAAGCUCAAGGACAAUGGACUCAUUCUGACUGGAGGGAUCCAGGAAGGCUUCAUGGAGGAAGUGGCAUUUGACAUUGGCAUCAAGGAUGAACAGGAUUAGACAGAGGGGACUGGUGUCUGCGUGAAGGAUCGCCAAAGCGCUGUUCUGGGGUGAGGGCGAUCAGCCCCUCCUGCCCCUCCUGAACUAUGAGGCUCGGGAGCCUUUGGCAGAAGGUGGCUCUGCACGCCCCAAGUGCAAGCUUGGAGCUUCCUUUUCUGCACUCCACAGCAGGAAGAAGGGCAGUGUGAACUGCUCACCACUGUCUUCCUGGGUUUGCAGCUCUGCGCCUGGCACAGAGACAGGCUCAGUGACGGUUGAAGGAAUCGGAGAAAUAAUGAAAAGUGUGUUCAUCCUGCAGGCAGCAGAGCCUCGGGUUAACCGUUAACGUCAGGAAAUGACAGAUCCAACGCUCCUGCUUGGGGCAGCGUGGAGGCCAGCGGAGGAGCUGCAAGAGCCUAAAGGAGAUGGCGCGCAGGCCUGGCUCGGGAGAGCAAGAGAUGGCGCGCAGGCCUGGCUCGGGAGAGCAGCCGUCUGAAAGACGGCGGCGAAGGGUGCGGGAGGAGAUGCCCCGGGCAGGGGCUUGGCGGGGUCUGGCACCAAACUUCCCAAAGCAGCUGCCUCUGUGAACUGUGCCUGGCAGGGAGGGAGCCACACCGGGAGUGACCCUAGACGCUGGCUCCCCAGGGGUGACUGGAGGCAGUGUCUCCCACCCAUGUGGGCCUCCGGCUUGGGGUCCCCAGAGCUCUGCCCUGCUGCUGGCUGCACUGAGAGAGGUGGCCUUCUGAAUGGGCCCUGUCCCGGGGGAGCCUCUGGUAAAGAGAUUCACCUGCACCCUCAAAACACGCCAUGCCCAUUGGAGGCUCUGGGUGCAGGCUGCCCCUCAAACAGAGAAAACCACACGCUGUUUAAGACCCAAAACCAAGGAGACAGCCCCUCAUGCCCCCUUCUAUCUCCCCUUCUGUCCAGGGCCCCCUGCCUGCUCUGGUCCACCCCGUCCUGACCCCCUCUGCCUGUUCAUCUGAGGGCCGUGAGCCAAGGCCUGGGCCUGGCUGAGGGUCAGGGAUCCUGGGACCUGCUUGAGACCAUGCCCCAUACGCUCCUUCGGCCAGAAGGUCAGCCGUGGAGACAAACCCCCACCCUGAGCCCGCAGUGUCAGCAACGCCCUGUCCUCACAGUGCCAGGCAGUGUCAGGCUGAGACCCGGGGCCACCUGUUCCAACGUCCACUCCAAGCAAGCCAGAGCCAGGUGCUGCCAGCCUGCCCAUGUGCACACAUUAGCAGACAGGUUUCCUGGUGUGGCAUACACGUGUUAUGACCGCGGCUGCUGCCCCCAGCCCAGAGUGCACUUCCGGGUAAUCCAGCACCCUGAGGCUUCACUGCUCUCCUGAGGGUUUUGUAAGAUGAAAUCUCCUUCACAAUGACAGCCUCCUGUCACCUGGGCCCUGGUGACGAAGCCUUCGGAGAGGCAAGGACCCAGCCGGGGCAUUCACAGUGGGCGUGCUGUCCACCCUCCGCCCCUGUCCUGGCCCCCACAGUGGAGCCACCACCUUGGGUAACAGGGGCUGCCUGAGGUCCUGGAGAAGGAAGAACCAGGUGGCCCACCUUCGGUGCACAGGGAGCAGCAGGCACCUGACGGCAGCCCCCGCACCCCUCCCUGGGCUGAAGUUCAGGCUGUCUCAUCCCUUGCCAGGAGCUCAGGGCUGAGCUAGGUUGGCAGGGGAUGGGUUGAGGGUCUGUUGUCCAGCAGGUUGCCCGGGCCCCACCCAGGCCACUCAGAAAACACCUGUGAGAGCCCCGCAGGCAUGCAGGGCACUGUCGUGAGCACACCAGUGGGGACAGACGUCCAGGCAGGAGGGAGCAGCCAGACCCCCAUCCCACCAGGGUCACCAGGUGAGCAAGGCUGGGGAACAAUGGAGGCGGAGCCCCGCGACUGCCCAGCUCACUGCCCCCAGUGUCCAGACUGUGGUGCAGGCGUGGGGACCCAGGUGUGUUCAGGGGUCUCCUUCAGGGAAGGAGACCAAGCUGGGAGUCUGGGGAGGCCGAGGUGUGAGGUGACAGCAGGUGAAGAGUGAGCGACAAUCAGCAUUUUCACAUGAAAGGAAACUACAGGCCCGGGUGCAGUGGCUCACGCCUGUAAUCCCGGCACUGUGGGAGGCUGAGGUGGGAGGAUCACCUGAGGUCGGGAGUUCGAGACCAGCCUGACCAACAUGGAGAAACCCCAUUUCUACUAAAAAAAAUACAAAAUUAGCUGGGCGUGGUGGCGCAUGCCUGUAAUCCUAGCUAUUCGGGAGGCUGAGGCAGGAGAAUCACUUGAACCUGGGAGGCGGAGGUUAUGGUGAGCCAAGAUCGCACCACUGCACCCCAGCCUGGGCAACAAGAGUGAAACUCCGUCUCAAAAAAAAAAAAAAAGAAGAAGAAAGAAAAAGAAAAAAAAGAAAGGCAACUACAGAAGGCGAGGAGAACCACCCAAGAUCACCAGAGGGAACUGUGGAAGGUCCGUGGUCCACCAGCCAGGCUGGGGCACCUCAGCCCCUGGGCAGAGCACCAAGCAGGGCUGUGCCCUGGUAAAGGAGGGCACAGUCAGCCCCAGACUACAUGCUGCCUUGGUCCUCCCAGCAGGGCUUAAAAGCAAGACCCCAAAGGACCAAACAGCUUCCAGGUAACUUCCUGGAGUCCUGAGCAAAGUCAGUUUUGCUCAGCUUUGCUACAAAAUUAGCACCCAGCAAAAUUCACAAUCCCUGUCACCCAUUCAAAAAUCACCAGGCAUGCGAGGAAGCAGGAAAAGGAAAAUGCAACCAGAAGAGGAGCACCCAUCAACGGGGCCGCCUCAGAAGCGACAGACGACCGGGCAAGUCCAAGGGCACCGAGGCACCUGCCACCGCUGUGCCCAGCACUCCCGAAGCCAGAGGGGCAGAUUGAGGUUCAGAGAAGUCAGAAGCCUUCCCAAGGCUGCACAGCCAGAAGUGGGCACAGCGUCCUGGGGUGAGGCCUCACACCAUCUGCACCACCUGCCCUCCAGGUCCCACCAUCCUCACAAAUUCAAGGCAAGGUUCUGGAACCCCCAGCCCUCCAGAAAGGGGAAGCUGAGCCCAGGAGGCACAUCUGAGAGUUCGGGUCCGUGAGUUUACCCUGCACUCACGCCGAUUCCUCCUGCAUCCUCUGUCGGGAUGUCUGGAUUCCAGAGUCCCCACCCUGAUUUUCCAACCUUGCCUCAGCCUUGGCUUCUCCCUUUUGGGGUGGGACAGGGAACCCCAGCAGCAGGUGUAUGAGGGCAUGAGAGGGCGGGAGGUGCCCUAUGCCUACCCGCCAGACCAGAGCCCCAGCCCUGGACACAGGGAGAGAGCAUGAGCGCUGUUCCUGCUCCCACUCCUUCAUCUGAGCAGGUGCUCCCAGGUACAGGUGCCGAGUCCAACCCAGAGGGGCCCUGCCACAACCAGAGGACCGACAAACCCAGACACAACUGUCUCUUCCCCCUGGUCAGGGUCUGGGCAAGGGUCCCUCUGGGCUGCUGUCCAUGCUGUGAGUGUCCAUGCUGUGGGCUGCUGUUGUGAGUGUCCGUGCCGUGGCCCAGUGUGUGAGUGUCCCUGCCCUGGCCCGCUGUCGCAAGUGUCCCCACCGUCGCCUGCUGUCGCAGGUGUCCGUGCCGUGGGCCGCUGUCGCGGGUGUCCGUGCCGUGGGCCGCUGUCGCGGGUGUCCGUGCCGUGGGCCGCAGACGUGGGUGUCCGUGCCGUGGGCCGCUGCCGCGGGUGUCCGUGCCGUGGGCCGCUGCCGCGGGUGUCCGUGCCGUGGGCCGCUGUCUCGGGUGUCCGUGCCGUGGGCCGCUGCCGUGGGUGUCCGUGCCGUGGGCCGCUGCCGUGGGUGUCCGUGCUGUGGGCUGCUGUCGUGGGUGUCCGUGCUGUGGGCUGCUGUCGUGGGUGUCCGUGCUGUGGCCCGGUAUGUGAGGUUGCGUUUCCAACAGGGAGUGAUUUGGCUUUGGUUACCUGAGGGUCUGAGAACAGGCACUAAAGCCCCACCUUUCUGGCUUCCAGAGUUGCCAGCUCCAGCAGCAGCCUCCAGGCCUGAGCAGGCUCUGGGGCUCCCACACCUGGGGGGCCAGGGUGGGGGUGACAAAGGGCCCCAGGCGACGGCUGAGAGCCGGCCCUGAGCCGGCCAGGGCGGGCAGCAGAACAGCCACCAGCUCCCGCCAGGCCCUGGCAGCAUGAGUGAUGGCAGGCCCAGCGAUAAGAAACUAAUAAUUUAUGCUUCCAGCUCCCGGGGCCGGCGCCGAGGGAAGGCUGGGCCACAGCCUCCCCCGCACUGAGCGGCCGCAGUCCUUUAUUGCACAAAUUAUUAACGACCAGAGAAUGAAUGACUCUGUAAUCAGAUCAGGCUGCCAGCACUUUUCAUUGCAUUUAUUUGUAUAAAUUCUGAAGUCGGGGUCUGCCCUAAGCUCAGCAAGCCAGCCUCGUGCUGGCUGGGUGCCCAGGCCCCCACCCAGACGGAGCACCCGUCCCUCAACCUGCCCAUGGGUUCCAGAGGACAGAGGGCUCAGGAACGGGUGCAGGGAACUGCUCUGAGCCAGAAGCCGAGUUCAUGGGCACCCAAAGCAGCCCUGGGCCAGGGUCACAGCUCUGUCCUUGAACCUGUCUCAGGGAAGAUUCCCAACUGUCCUCAGAGCCAGGGGCACCCAGGGCUUGGGAGCUGAAGGGGGGUGGGUCUGAGACCAGGAGAAGGCUCCCCAGCCCUGAGGGAACUCUCAUCACCCCCCUGCUCUCCUCCAUCCAGGAACCCAGGAACCGUCCCAGGGUUGCCCCAGGCCUCCUGGCUCUCCCGCCUCCAUCCUGUGGGCUUCCCGGGAGCCCCAGGCUGGUCUCCCACCUGCCCCCUCCUUUUCUGGUCUUGCCUGGGCUGGGCCCAGGGGCUCUGGCUGUGGGUUUUCUGUGCAGCACCUCGCAGUGAGCCUGACGCUGGUCCUCUCCUGAGCCCCCGUUUAAUCUUAUUGACCUCUCGUUAUGCUACAGAGCGUAAAUUCAGAUUUAGAGAUCUUAUGUUCCAUCAUAAAUUGGGCUGGCAGACUUCCGAUCAACAAGAUAAAGCUGUCUUCCGUGAGGCGGGUGUUUUAUUAGUCUUGGUCCCAGUGCUGCAGGUGUGGGCUGGGGAGUGCCUGAGGGAGGGGCCUCUGCUUGGAACCCUUCCUGCCUGGGCGAGCGGCUGAGUCCCUCCUGCCGCCCAGGCUGGGCCCCAGGUACCUGGCGAACAAAGGGACCCUGAAAUUGCCGCCUUUCCCCUGCCUCUUGGGCUCUGCAUACGAUUUCAGCCAAUCCCUGCUGCCCAGCCUUGCCCACCCGCUUCUGGGGCCACCCCCGGGUUAAGCAGGGCUGUGCAGCAUGAGGGUCCUGUUCUCAUUCAGCCACCUGCACGGCCACCCCAGUGUGAUUCCUCAGCAGCCACACAGAAGACAGAUGGUCCAUAGGAGACUCAGAAACAGAGAAGCCUCACGCCAGGUCCACAGAGGCACCCACGCCCGCCAAAAGGAUGCCAUGCACUCACCCUGCCCUCUGGGGAGCACAGUGGGAGUCCAGGACACCGCCUUGGAUGGGGUGAGGCUCCGUCUGUGACUUCAGAAAGUCAGUCUGGGGCUGGACUUGACAUGGGAAACAGAAUAAAACUGCCUGUCCACCUGA